UACCAGCACCCCGAGUGGUCGGGACGAUUAUUGGGCCUAAAGCAUCCGUAGCCGGUUCUACAAGUCUUCCGUUAAAUCCACCUGCUUAACAGAUGGGCUGCGGAGGAUACUAUAGAGCUAGGAGGCGGGAGAGGCAAGCGGUACUUAGUGGGUAGGGGUAAAAUCCUCUGAUCCAUUGAAGACCACCAGUGGCGAAGGCGGCUUGCCAGAACGCGCUCGACGGUGAGGGAUGAAAGCUGGGGGAGCAAACCGG
rnacentral:rRNA from 1 species